GAGUUAGCCAAUCGAGCGACGGAACAGAGAAGUGUUAGCAAAUCACAGUGAGGAGGCGGAACUUGUCGGAAUGCUGGUGGGAAAAGGUGUCAGGAAGAUGUGGGUGCUGCAUGUACAGCUGUUCGUCUGAUUGCCUGACCAUUUAUUCACAACUCACGCUAUUAUAAACGAGUCCUUAGCAGAGUUUAGUUUGUCGUUUUCUAUUAGUGUAAAUAUGUUUACAAAUACAACGCGAUUCUGGUCCUGGUAUAUUUUUUAAAUAGCUCUGGGAAAAUUACAAACGCAUACAGGCAGUGGUCGGACGAAUCUGGGGUCCUUUUGGUAGAAUGGAGGACACCGCGUGCUCGAGAUAAACAGUUCCUCCGUAUCUUUUAUCACAUUUAUAAGUAAGAGCCACUCGGAAGUGCACGAUGGAGACGGUUAGUAACCCAGCCUCUGAGGAGAUCAGUAUUGUGGAGAAUGGAGAAAACACGGACACUUUCCAAAAGGUAAAAUCGAAGAAAACGUCCAAACGUAAACGUGAUCAGGGUGAAGCCGAAAUGGAGUCUGAAGACGCAGUGGCACCGAAGAGACCACAGUUUCCCCCGAUAUCAGGAGACAGACUGAAGGGUGGUGCUGAUGAAAUGAGGAAAAUCCCCGUGCCGUCUCACCGAUAUACACCUCUGAAAGAAAACUGGCUCAAAAUCUUCACCCCCAUCGUUGAAAACCUGCAACUUCAAGUCCGAUUUAAUCUCAAAACAAGAAAUGUGGAGAUUAAGACGUGUAAAGAAACACAGGAUAUCGGCGCUCUUACGAAAGCAGCAGAUUUUGUAAAGGCCUUCGUUUUAGGAUUUCAGGUUGAGGAUGCACUUGCACUCAUCAGACUGGAUGAAUUGUUUCUGGAAACCUUCGAGGUCACAGAUGUUAAGCCUCUCAAAGGAGAUCACUUAUCGAGAGCUGUUGGGAGAAUAGCAGGCAAAGGAGGCAAAACAAAAUUCACCAUUGAAAAUGUCACAAAGACCAGGAUCGUCCUUGCAGACACCAAGGUUCACAUUUUGGGGUCUUUCCAGAAUAUAAAGAUGGCACGAACAGCUAUAUGUAACCUUAUAUUAGGAAGUCCACCAUCAAAGGUGUAUGGGAACAUUCGGGCAGUUGCCAGCCGUGCAGCAGAGAGAUUCUAACACAGGGCACAACUCUCUGAUCCUCCCCCUGCUAUACAGCUCAAGGACUGAAGCAGAAAAAUGUCCAAAAUAUCUACACGCUACAGUACCAAGUCCAAGGAUUCCCAACAGUAGGCAAUAUGAUGCAGCAUGCAGAGUAGACGUCCCCAACUGGAAAUAUAAUGAUUCUCGAUGUCGAUUUGGGAACGAAACACCCAUUCUCCCAUUCCAUCAACAUAAAUUUGGAGUAAAAUUAGUUUUAAAGCAAUUAAAAAUAAAUUUUAUAAAGGUAUCACUGACUGGAUUUAUAUAUCUCUAUACUGUAUAGACACCAUACAUUUCACUGCAACUUAAUAUUAUUCAGGAAGAAAAACGUGUAUAUAUGUAUUUGUACUUUUCAAGAACACAGAUUGUGCCGAGUCUUUUUUUUUUCUUCUUUUUUUUCAAAACUUUUUGGCGACAUCCAUAACUAUUCGAUAUUUGAUGUUGAAUAUCACAAGUGUAAACAGUAGACGUGCUGUAAAUCGGAAACCAUGCAGAAGGGAACAUGUUCGUGCAGACGCUGGAGGAGCACUUGGGGGAUCAAAGACACACUAGGUACCACAGGUGAGAGAAGCCUGUGAAGAUGUGUAGAGGAAGUAAGGAGCAAAUCCUUUCCAGCAAUACUCUUUACUCACGUCAUGCUAAAGUUCUAAGGUUAAUGUCCUACUGGGUGUUUUGGAUUUAAAAUACAAUACUUUGUUUGUCCAGGUGGGGGCAUGGAGUGGUCACAAAUAGCGUACUGCUGUUCUAAAAUCCUGUGUUCUGGCUUCUGGUACAUAUGUAUCUAGAAUUAUUUUGGGUUUUUAAAGCAAAAACAAUGCUGACUGCAAUGAAACUGCCGUAAUUAUCUGCAGAGGUGUUGAUGAUGAUGAUAAUAAUAAUGAUGAUGAUAAUAAUAAUGAUAAUAAUAAUAAUAAUAAUAAUAAUAAUAAUAAUAAUAAUAAUAGAUGCGGUCAUCAGAGCUCAGUGAUUCAACAAAUCUUUCAGAAUUUGAGCACUGAAACAUUACUAAUUGUUUAUCAUCAGAAGGUCUUUAACAAAAUCCUAACCUGAAGAAGUCAUUGAUUGUUUCGGUAAAGUUGGAUUUUUUUUUGGCAUCUAUUUCUACUGGACUGUCAUCGAAUUAAACACAGAAUAAAGUUACUCUCCAGUAAUACGAACAUUCAUAAAUAAUUUAUCACAAUACAAAAAGUACUGAUUAACAUGAUUAAUCGCAAGAACAAUAGAAACAUUGCAAAAUGAAAGAAAAAUAAAGUAUUCACUUAAACAAACAAAAAACCCAAACAAAAUCAAACCAGUUUUUUCUAAUUAAAAAGAUCUGUCUGGUUUGUUGAUUGUGUUCUGCUUGGCACAUCAUACCCUAAUUAUUUCUGUACUGAAAUGCCAACGUUAACUUAACAUAACUUCCUCCUUUGCAGAAAGCUUAAUAUACACUUGCUUUAAAAAAAAGUGAUCCAAAAUAAAUAUAAAUUAAAAAAAAUUACAAAAAGAAAAUGAGGGGGGG